GAUGAACGCUGGCGGCGUGCCUAAUACAUGCAAGUCGAGCGAACAGACGAGGAGCUUGCUCCUCUGACGUUAGCGGCGGACGGGUGAGUAACACGUGGAUAACCUACCUAUAAGACUGGGAUAACUUCGGGAAACCGGAGCUAAUACCGGAUAAUAUAUUGAACCUCAUGGUUCAAUAGUGAACGACGGUUUUGCUGUCACUUAUAGAUGGAUCCGCGCCGCAUUAGCUAGUUGGUAAGGUAACGGCUUACCAAGGCAACGAUGCGUAGCCGACCUGAGAGGGUGAUCGGCCACACUGGAACUGAGACACGGUCCAGACUCCUACGGGAGGCAGCAGUAGGGAAUCUUCCGCAAUGGGCGAAAGCCUGACGGAGCAACGCCGCGUGAGUGAUGAAGGUCUUCGGAUCGUAAAACUCUGUUAUUAGGGAAGAACAAAUGUGUAAGUAACUAUGCACGUCUUGACGGUACCUAAUCAGAAAGCCACGGCUAACUACGUG
rnacentral:rRNA from 1 species